UAGUGGUAGAAGUUAGCAGGAGGAGGAACGGGAGUUUGCUUGGAUUGGCUGGCGCGGCAACGUGCGGAGCGCUGAUUGGUGGCUGGGAAAUGGAAUGAUUCUGCGUGGAUGUGGACUGGCAGGAGCCGGAGCGAGGUACCCCUCAGAUAAGCAAUCUGAAACCUAGGAUGGUCCAGCAAGUUGCCCAGAGGUGCUUCCACAGGGAAGGGAAGCACUAAACAGGCAAUGUUACCCAAAGAUUAUGUGACCAUUCAGAAGUUCCCCCGACCAGUCAGGAAAAAUUGUACACUUUUAAGGGCCUGUGGAGGAAAACCACUGAAGAGCAGAGGGAAGAGAAGGGAGGCACUGACUUCUGGCAAAUACCAGUUCUGCACCAACUAGCUGUGGGACUCUUUCUCUCUCAAUCUCCUCAUCUGUAAGGGUGGUAAUAAGGGAUCUUUAAAGUGUCUUACAGCUUUAAAAAUCUAUCAUUUCAACUCUUAUUUGAAUAAAAUCCAAUACAUUUGGAGAAAA